UGCAGCCGAUACGGGCAGGCUAGAGUUCGGUAGGGGAGACUGGAAUUCCUGGUGUAGCGGUGAAAUGCGCAGAUAUCAGGAGGAACACCGGUGGCGAAGGCGGGUCUCUGGGCCGAUACUGACGCUGAGGAGCGAAAGCGUGGGGAGCGAACAGGAUUAGAUACCCUGGUAGUCCACGCUGUAAACGUUGGGCGCUAGGUGUGGGGGGCCUCUCCGGUUCUCUGUGCCGCAGCUAACGCAUUAAGCGCCCCGCCUGGGGAGUACGGCCGCAAGGCUAAAACUCAAAGGAAUUGACGGGGGCCCGCACAAGCGGCGGAGCAUGCGGAUUAAUUCGAUGCAACGCGAAGAACCUUACCUGGGUUUGACAUGGCCGCAAAACCUGCAGAGAUGUGGGGUCCUUCGGGGGCGGUCACAGGGUGGUGCAUAA
rnacentral:rRNA from 1 species